UGAAACAUAACAUUUUGACUUGCCUUAAUACGAAAGCAUAAACAUUUCCCAUUUUUGGAUAAAAUGCAAAUGAACGGUAAAAUGUGCUAAAUUUGGAGAAAACCAUACCGCAAAGGCUACCCAGUCUACGAAAUGAAGAGUCGGCUUCAACAAGCACAGUGCCAGUGCCCUGAAAACAAGACUAGAAAAUCUGUCGGUUAUUUCAAACUCUUGAUGCGCUAAUAACCUCCCAGAAAGCAAUAAAAUACAUACCAAACAAUAUGGAAUCCGUGUUCAUAGCCUUACAAAAAUCACUUUUGUGGAAAAGGGCCUAAUUUCAACAUGCUGUUGAAUAUCAGAUGAGAAGACUUACUGCUCAGUUCGCCAAUGAUAGGCGAGGUAUGCGGCAAAUACAUUGGCCCCUCUUCGUUGCAGAAUCGAGCUGUGUUGUUUCCUUACCAGAACGAACGGACUGCUGUACUUGGUUCUCAGAAUGCUUGAUGACUCCUUUCAAAUUGAUCGUCUAUAAUACAGAUUGUACGGGAGUGUCCUCCUUUAAAACAAUACGCAUCGAAACGUUUGUGAUGUUUGUCGGCUUAUAGUUCAUAAUCGAAGAUUACACAUCGAAAGUGUAUCAUA